rnacentral:misc_RNA from 1 species
CUGACGAACACCGCGACCCUCACUGCACUAGCGUCCGACGAAGCUGCUUCACCUACAUCUUCUGCUCCACCCCCCUCCUUCGAGCACCUGGACACCGAACGCCCAGGAAGAGACCCAAGGACUGGGUCAAUUGUAGCUAGUAAUGAAUGGUGUGAAGAAAAAAUUAAGGCUAUGCCACAAGCCAAAAAGUUUAGACUUGCCCCAUUGGAGAAUGAAGAAGACCUUGAAAUCAUGUUUAGUAGUGCGUCCUGUACCAAUGUAUAUGUUAUGGCUCCAGGUGCAAAUGAGGAGUUGAAUGGUAAUGAUAAUGAUGUAGAGGAGGUGCUUCCAAGUCCGGGUGACAAACCCUCCAGGAAAAGAGCUAGUUCAAGCAAGUCUUCUGCAACCUCUUCGCAUAAUGAUUAUGUUAGGCAAGAGAUAGCAGAAAUGUUGGAAUCAGUUAUUGAGCCUGGGGCAGGUGAAGGAAGUGAUGAACAUUUUUAUGCCACACAACUCCUUAUCAAGAAGGAGUACAAAGAUGUGUUUGUCACUCUUAAAACCGCUGAAGGGAAGCUUGCAUGGCUUAAGAGAACAUGGGAGGAGAGGAAGAACCGCUAG